rnacentral:rRNA from 1 species
GACGAACGCUGGCGGCGUGCCUAAUACAUGCAAGUUGAGCGCUGAAGGUUGGUACUUGUACCAACUGGAUGAGCAGCGAACGGGUGAGUAACGCGUGGGGAAUCUGCCUUUGAGCGGGGGACAACAUUUGGAAACGAAUGCUAAUACCGCAUAAAAACUUUAAACACAAGUUUUAAGUUUGAAAGAUGCAAUUGCAUCACUCAAAGAUGAUCCCGCGUUGUAUUAGCUAGUUGGUGAGGUAAAGGCUCACCAAGGCGAUGAUACAUAGCCGACCUGAGAGGGUGAUCGGCCACAUUGGGACUGAGACACGGCCCAAACUCCUACGGGAGGCAGCAGUAGGGAAUCUUCGGCAAUGGACGAAAGUCUGACCGAGCAACGCCGCGUGAGUGAAGAAGGUUUUCGGAUCGUAAAACUCUGUUGGUAGAGAAGAACGUUGGUGAGAGUGGAAAGCUCAGCAAGUGACGGUAACUACCCAGAAAGGGACGGCUAACUACGUG